rnacentral:rRNA from 1 species
GUCCACGCUGUAAACGAUGGGCACUAGGUGUGGGGGGUGUCGACUCCCUCCGUGCCGAAGCUAACGCAUUAAGUGCCCCGCCUGGGGAGUACGGCCGCAAGGCUAAAACUCAAAGGAAUUGACGGGGGCCCGCACAAGCAGCGGAGCAUGUGGUUUAAUUCGACGCAACGCGAAGAACCUUACCUUGGCUUGACAUGUUCCUGACCGUCCUGGAAACAGGGCUUCCCUUCGGGGCAGGAUCACAGGUGGUGCAUGGCUGUCGU